AGCACAGAGCCCGAGGCGGGGCUUGAACCCACAAGCCAUGAGAUUAUGAUCUGAGCUGAGGUCGGAUGGUUAACUGACUGAGCCACCCAGUCACCCCCAAAAUUCAAGGUUUUGAUGAAUGAUGUCACCUCCAAUCUUUUAUCCCCCUGCCAGAAAUUCAACAGUUACUUCCUCCCCUAUUAUGUUGUUUUGUCUUCUCAGAGAUACUUUUGAUUUUUAUUCAUAUCAGCUGUGUCUCAUGACCAUGUUUUCUCAUCUUCUGUUCCUUUCAUCUACCUAGCUGUGCUGGCACCUGUACCACACCCCAUCAACUGGUGUUAAUUUAACAUCUUUUAACACCUUGGAGUCAGAUUUCUUUGCUUUUGAAGGUAACUUUUUUUCUUUUUGUGAAAUUAACACUUUCUCCUUGUAAAAGUUUCAGAAAAUACAGAGAAGCAGGGGGGAAAAAAAAAGUAAAAAUCAUCGAUACCUCUAUCAACGAGGGACAACCUUGGUCAAAUUAUUGGAGCAGGUUCUGCCAGAUUUUGUUUUUGAGGCAAAUGUGAGCAUAUGUAACAGCUCAUAAUCUCCCUUAAUCGUGCUAAAAUAAAUUAUUCACAAGUCUCAAAAUAAAAACAAAACAGGUGUUGUGGUAGACGGAAUUUUGGAGGGGGCCUCCGUGACCUUGGCUCUCUAGUGUUACUCCUUUGUUGGCAAAAGGGAGAUGAUCCAGGUGGGUCCAAUCUAAUCACACAACUAUUGAAAAGCAGAGUUUUCGCCAGCUGCGGGCACGGGCACGAGAGGACGUUAGGCCGACGUGGUGUUUUAGGACGGCUGGAGGCAGAGUUGUUCUUUGAAUUCAGAGAUGGUCAAGUGGAGAACAAAGCAGGCAGCCUUUAACAGUGAGGGUAGCUCCCACUGAGAGCUAGCAAGGAAAUAGGGAAUUAGAACCUACUACCCCAAAGAACUCAGCUUGACCACCCACCUCAAGGGGUUUGGAAAUGGAUCUUACUCCAGAACUUCCAGAUCACAGAAUAUUUUAACGGUAGGAGAGACUCAAAGUGCUCGAACCGCCACCAAGGAAGACCCAUGAGACGUGACGAUGAAGCAAAUCUGAACCUGACAUUCACAUUGUACUGUGAGCUCCCUGCAUGCCCGUCCACCUGCAGGCCCAAGCAGGGAUGUAAUGGAAUCUUCAGUGAGCCUUGGACCAUUUAUCUAGACAACUGAUGGAGUCCAGGGAAUCUAAAAUGUCAGACCAUCUGGUUCAACACCGUGCCCUCCUUGUCCGGACUCCUGGACCUUCUUCCUUCCUCAGGAAACCUAGGCCGUUGCCCGCAGGCUCAGACUCCCGGGCCACUUCCUUCUUGAACCCAAAGAGCUCCCAACCCAAAGCAUGGAGACUUCUGUCCGUGCCAGGGAAGUGGCCGACGACACUCCCUCCCGACCUCCAGCUGCCUCUGUGCCACACACAGUCCUCCUCACACCCAUCUCACGAAUCCCAACCUCCUCUCCCCUCACCCUCCUUCCUGGCCUGAUGCUUCACUCUGUUUUAUUUUCUCUGUCCCAGAUCAAACUCAAAGGCCCUUCUGACCAGACUCCCGAGGUUGGAAGCUGGGAGUAAAUGGAGGCCAAAGGGAAGGACUGUCUCAAGAUCCUGGGCUCUCCACUACCCACACACACUGUUCCCCCUUUCUCUUCCCCUCUUCCUCUGUUACCAAGCUCCCAUCAGAACUGAGGUCUGAAGGGCCCCCUGGGGCAAGCAGGGGUGCUGUGAGGAUCUGAAAAUGCCCUCUUGGAACUAGAAUCGUGGAACUCUUUGGCUUGAGGAGAAGCACAGGGCAGAAGUCCUGUCCCGCAGGGUAGAAAGCACCUCACUUGUGAGUUCUGCUUCAAAGGAGCAAGUAUCUCCCACGGAGAUCCACCUUCCAACCCCGCAGGAAGUUUCCCACUCUGUCACAUUCAUUCAUGGAUUCAGUGAGCCACUGUGUGCCACCUCUCCUUGGAAGGGUUCUGAGAUGAUCAGGCAGGAGUGAGACCACGGUCAUCUGGAUUUCUGGAAGAUGAGGUAAAGUGUAAAGAAUUGUCUUUAUCCAGACAAGAGGUUCUAAGCUUCUUAGAGAUGCCAAACCCUUAGAAUAAGCAAAAGGGCCUCUCCCCAGAAAAAUUUACACAUGAAAAGUGCCCGAAGCUCUGUAAACAGCCCCAGGGCUCCACCCUGCAAAGGACCUGGAGAGAGCCUGGGCUUCAGUGAGCUAGCACCGAGUCCACAGGCAGGGCACCCAAGCCCCGCUCCAGUGUGCCAGAGGGCACAAGGGACCCUGGCCUCAUCCUAGGUCCAGUUCCUAGGACCUGGCUGCGAAGAAAAAGCAAGUGAAUGAACACCUCAUUUUGCUCUUUUUGGGAUAUACAUAGGGUCCCUCCUCUCUACUGUCAAGGAAAGUAGGGCUCCUGAGCAAGAAUUGUCCAGAUCCCGAGGUGAGCAAAAUGCUAUGCCCAGUGCUUUCAUCAGGGUAAUGUCUACUGAAUUCACCCUGUGGUCUUGAGAUAAUCUGCUGCCUCCUGGCUGGCUAGCCAGAUGCAGGGCCUUUCUUCCUAGGUCACUGCAGAGGAGAGGACCCCUACACGCAUGCGCGCGCACACACACACACACACACACACACACACACACACACAGGCCAGCAGAAGAGAAGACGCCUACACAGACACACACACACACACACAC